rnacentral:misc_RNA from 1 species
AUUUUAAGCUUCUUAAGUGCUAGUGUGGUGCUAUUCUGGAUUGUGGUGGAGUGGGUUUGGGUUGCGCUUUCGCUUUGGUUUUGGUUUUGGGUAAUAAUUGGAGAGUUUCUUUCUGGAAGGGGAGGAUCUUGAUCAGAUACUCCUACGGGCAACUUUGUCUUGCUUGGUACACAUCCACCACCCUUACCCAUACCAGAAUUCAAUAUGGGUAUUAGCUUGCUGCUACAAUAUGACUCUGCUUCAAAGCUAUAUGAAUCUUGUGCAAGAAUUGUUGGCUUCUACUAGUUCCACUUGAAAUUUUGAACUAUAUAG